UGGCAGAACAGAAACCUCAUCUGUUCUUGGUCUGAGGCCCUUGGUAUGUUUGGCUGCAACUUUUCUCGGCUGUGACGACUGGCCACGCCAGACCCCAGCUACCGGAUGGGAAGCCCUGCCUCCUGGAUGGGAGGUCUGGGGCUAAUCUUGUUGGCCCCCUCCCCUGCCUGAGCCGGCUCUCCUUGUUCUGUUCCAAGGAAGGAUGAGAGGAAAAGGUGGAUUUUUCCAGUCUUAUUUUUUCCUACAUAUUGGGAGGGUAGAGAUCAGCAUCUUCGCUUUCCUUUUGCCUGACAUUUGGAUCAGAUGCUAGGUAGGUAUCAAUCUCAGAUGUACACAUUUUCAGUAAAUUGA
rnacentral:lncRNA from 1 species